rnacentral:rRNA from 1 species
UACGUAGGUGGCAAGCGUUGUCCGGAUUUACUGGGCGUAAAGAGCGCGCAGGCGGCCAUGCAAGUCGAGUGUGAAAGCCCCGGGCUUAACUUGGGAAUUGCGCUCGAAACUACGUGGCUGGAGUGUGGCAGAGGAAGGUGGAAUUCCACGUGUAGCGGUGAAAUGCGUAGAGAUGUGGAGGAACACCAAUGGCGAAGGCAGCCUUCUGGGCCAACACUGACGCUCAUGCACGAAAGCGUGGGGAGCAAACAGG